AUACGGAGGGGGUUAGCGUUGUUCGGAAUUGCUGGGCGUAAAGCGCACGUAGGCGGAUUGGAAAGUUGGGGGUGAAAUCCCAGGGCUCAACCCUGGAACUGCCUCCAAAACUAACAGUCUAGAGUUCGAGAGAGGUGAGUGGAAUUCCAAGUGUAGAGGUGAAAUUCGUAGAUAUUUGGAGGAACACCAGUGGCGAAGGCGGCUCACUGGCUCGAUACUGACGCUGAGGUGCGAAAGCGUGGGGAGCAAACAGGAUUAGAAACCCUAGUAGUCC
rnacentral:rRNA from 1 species